rnacentral:misc_RNA from 1 species
CUAAGGAUAAAGUUAUCAUCUUCAGUUUUGAGAGACUUAAGAAAGUUUUUCAUCUUUUAAGAUUCGGGCCUAUAGCUCAGCUGGUUAGAGCACACGCCUGAUAAGCGUGAGGUCGGUGGUUCAAGUCCAUUUAGGCCCACCAAAAUAGGUCACAUCUUAAAAAAGCUCUUUGAA